GGAUUUAUUUUUUGUUCUUUCAUUGUUCUCCAUCACAAUUCAUUUUCUACAUUAUUAUCUUGUAUUUUUACAUUUUAUUCUUGUGUUUUAGAGACUGUGCAGUUCAGCUGGCAGGAGAGGCAGCGACGACAACCAACCCCAGUUAUGAGCAACGUGAGAGAAAUAUUGAAGUUAUGACAGUAAAAUCUUUGUUUCCAUCUCUACAGACAAGGUCGAGUGAAGAACAGGUUUAUGAUUCUCAUGUUUGUCUACAGUACCCUAAGCUCCUAUUCCAACACAUCUUCAGGGUGUCAACAUGAAUGUUGUUUAGGAUACCCACUUGGACCCGACAUGUGGCAGUGCAUUCCUUACUGAAGCACCAGACAAGAACGUACGUCAUAGCGAUUCAGCAGUGGUGUUCAAUGGCAUGAUUUAUAGUGUGAUUGCUGAAUGUGGAACAUGCUUUGCAUUUAUGAAUGUGUGUCAAUACAUAGAUUGGAUAAAACUAACAACUGGGCUUAAAUAUAAACUAUCAUGAAAUAAAAUUCUCAUCAGAUUUCCUCUCAGAUGUAAUUUUAUAGUUGUAUCUUCAUCAGUUUGUAGUUUGAAGAAUUAGGAUAAAUUAAUAGUUUGUUUUUUUUCUCACCUGACCUUGACCUCCCUAAUGGAACUUUCUCUGCCUCAGAAAUGAAAAAUAAAUGAAUGAA